AUCAAAUAGGCAAAGUAAGAAAACUAUAGAAUUUCUUAUGGCCACCCAGAAGCCUAGCAAGCAAAGCAAACUACGCAAGUUCAUUAAGGCUCCCAUUAGGAUAUUGAUCAAGGCCAGGGACAUUUACAUCAAGAGCAUGACUGAAUGCUCCGAUCGCCUUGGCUAUGGUACUGUAAUGGGUUGUCCUACAGGCCAAGUAGUGAAUCACCUGCCAAAGAGUUUUAGUGUCAAUUCAACAAAAUCAAGCAACCAUGAUGAUGACUAUAGACAGCUUUUAAGGGCUGCUUCCACCAGGGGUUCAAGCAAUAGGGUUCAGUUGGAUGUUCUUCAAAGACAGCAAUCUCAAUCUCCAAAAUCUCCAAAUACUUGCAGAGAAGCAAACCAUAUGCCUAGGAGUCAUAGUGUUGGUAUUGGAAGAAUCGACGAAGAAAAGCCUUGUGAUUUUGAUGAAGAUGAUAUCAAGGUCAUAACUGAUGUCUUUCCAAGAAGCAGAAGCUACGCUGUUUCUAAAACAAGGGCUGGAGUCUUCUGAUUAAGCCAAGAAAAGAUUUACAAGGGCAAGUAAUUAAUUUCCUCUGUUUUCUCCAUCCAUUUCUCUUCUUCUCUUGUUUUCUGUGUAUCAUUCUUCAAGGUUUUGUUCAAUCUUUUUGACAAGUUGUGUUCUUGUUGAUAUCAUAUAUGCUACUUGGUUUCUUUGGCAUAUGAUGAAGAACAUGUAGAGCAAAGAAUUCA
rnacentral:misc_RNA from 1 species